UAACCCCCAUGAUGUACAGCACUGGGCCUCUGACCAGCCUGAUGGCAUGUUGCAUGACCUCGGGACCUUUGAUUCCAGGGUUCUGGGGGGUUU